UUUAUAGUAGAAUAAUACACCACAAAUUAAAAUAAAUGAUGUAGGCAAAAUUGCUCAAAAUAAUGUUAUAAAAAAAUGAUAAAACCAAUUUUAUGUUUUUUUUUACCAAGAUCAAAAUGAAUCUACACUCAAUAAUUAAAAGAUUCAACUCAUUAUAUGGCGAAAAAACAUAAAUUCAAAUAUCUUACCUUUUCCUAAAAAUUUUGUUGGUGGAUAGUAAUAUAUUAAUAACUUUGUGAGUAUUCAUGGAAUCUAUGAUUUUUCUAGUCUAGGGUGCAAUGGAGACCAAACUAAUUUUCUAAUUAAACUUUAUAUUAUAUAUAAAAAAAGAAGAGGUAUAUACUUUCAAUACAAUAUUUGUAUGAGACCAUAUAUAGUAUAUAGUUAUGCAUUCUCUUUUUUUUAGUGGUUAUUUCAUAAGAGGACAAAAACAACUUAUGCAAACAAAGCAGAAAGCAACACCACAAGAAUCUUAUAUAUUAGUUUGUGUCGUCACUAUAGUUGGCUAAGUAAACGAAUGUACUCGAAUCAUAUAAUUUUGCACCUUGCAUACUCAGAAUCACAUAAAAUAUUCUUGUUUCUUGUUGGUCACGUAGGAAUGUUUUCCAAAUUGCCAAACCAAAAAUAUUAUAUACCUUCUUGUACUUUUCAAACCAAACCAUAAAU
rnacentral:lncRNA from 1 species